AGAGUUUGAUCCUGGCUCAGGAUGAACGCUAGCGACAGGCCUAACACAUGCAAGUCGAGGGGCAGCGGGGAGGUAGCAAUACCUUUGCCGGCGACCGGCGCACGGGUGAGUAACACGUAUGCAAUCCACCUGUAACAGGGGGAUAACCCGGAGAAAUCCGGACUAAUACCCCAUAAUAUGGGCUCUCCGCAUGGAGGGUCCAUUAAAGAGAGCAAUUUUGGUUACAGACGAGCAUGCGCUCCAUUAGCCAGUUGGCGGGGUAACGGCCCACCAAAGCGACGAUGGAUAGGGGUUCUGAGAGGAAGGUCCCCCACAUUGGAACUGAGACACGGUCCAAACUCCUACGGGAGGCAGCAGUGAGGAAUAUUGGUCAAUGGUCGGCAGACUGAACCAGCCAAGUCGCGUGAGGGAAGACGGCCCUACGGGUUGUAAACCUCUUUUGUCGGAGAGUAAAGUACGCUACGUGUAGCGUAUUGCAAGUAUCCGAAGAAAAAGCAUCGGCUAACUCCGUGCCAGCAGCCGCGGUAAUACGGAGGAUGCAAGCGUUAUCCGGAUUUAUUGGGUUUAAAGGGUGCGUAGGCGGCACGCCAAGUCAGCGGUGAAAUUUCCGGGCUCAACCCGGACUGUGCCGUUGAAACUGGCGAGCUAGAGUGCACAAGAGGCAGGCGGAAUGCGUGGUGUAGCGGUGAAAUGCAUAGAUAUCACGCAGAACCCCGAUUGCGAAGGCAGCCUGCUAGGGUGCGACAGACGCUGAGGCACGAAAGCGUGGGUAUCGAACAGGAUUAGAUACCCUGGUAGUCCACGCAGUAAACGAUGAAUACUAACUGUUUGCGAUACAAUGUAAGCGGUACAGCGAAAGCGUUAAGUAUUCCACCUGGGGAGUACGCCGGCAACGGUGAAACUCAA
rnacentral:rRNA from 1 species